rnacentral:rRNA from 1 species
UACGUAGGGUGCAAGCGUUGUCCGGAAUUAUUGGGCGUAAAGAGCUCGUAGGCGGUUUGUUGCGUCGGCUGUGAAAUCCCGAGGCUCAACCUCGGGUCUGCAGUCGAUACGAGCAAACUAGAGUGUUGCAGGGGAGACUGGAAUUCCUGGUGUAGCGGUGAAAUGCGCAGAUAUCAGGAGGAACACCGGUGGCGAAGGCGGGUCUCUGGGCAACAACUGACGCUGAGGCGCGAAAGCCAGGGGAGCGAACGGG